rnacentral:rRNA from 1 species
UGGGGGAUAUUGCACAAUGGGCGAAAGCCUGAUGCAGCAACGCCGCGUGAGGGAAGACGGUUUUCGGAUUGUAAACCUCUGUCUUUGGUGACGAAACAAAUGACGGUAGCCAAGGAGGAAGCCACGGCUAACUACGUGCCAGCAGCCGCGGUAAUACGUAGGUGGCGAGCGUUGUCCGGAAUUACUGGGUGUAAAGGGAGCGCAGGCGGGGAGACAAGUCAGCUGUGAAAACUAUCGGCUUAACUGAUAGAGUGCAGUUGAAACUGUUUUUCUUGAGUGGAGCAGAGGCAGGCGGAAUUCCGAGUGUAGCGGUGAAAUGCGUAGAUAUUCGGAGGAACACCAGUGGCGAAGGCGGCCUGCUGGGCUUUAACUGACGCUGAGGCUCGAAAGUGUGGGGAGCAAACA